AGUGAACGCUGGCGGUAGGCCUAACACAUGCAAGUCGAACGGCAGCACAGUAAGAGCUUGCUCUUACGGGUGGCGAGUGGCGGACGGGUGAGGAAUACAUCGGAAUCUACUUUUUCGUGGGGGAUAACGUAGGGAAACUUACGCUAAUACCGCAUACGACCUACGGGUGAAAGCAGGGGAUCUUCGGACCUUGCGCGAUUGAAUGAGCCGAUGUCGGGUUAGCUAGUUGGCGGGGUAAAGGCCCACCAAGGCGAGGAUCCGUAGCUGGUCUGAGAGGAUGGUCAGCCACACUGGAACUGGGCCACGGUCCAGACUCCUACGGGAGGCAGCAGUGGGGAAUGUUGGACAAUGGGCGCAAGCCUGAUCCAGCCAUACCGCGUGGGUGAAGAAGGCCUUCGGGUUGUAAAGCCCUUUUGUUGGGAAAGAAAAGCAGCAGGUUAAUACCCCGCUGUUCUGACGGUACCCAAAGAAUAAGCACCGGCUAACUUCGUG
rnacentral:rRNA from 1 species